rnacentral:rRNA from 1 species
GUGGGGAAUAUUGGACAAUGGGGGGAACCCUGAUCCAGCCAUGCCGCGUGUGUGAAGAAGGCCUUUUGGUUGUAAAGCACUUUAAGCGAGGAGGAGGCUACCGAGAUUAAUACUCUUGGAUAGUGGACGUUACUCGCAGAAUAAGCACCGGCUAACUCUGUGCCAGCAGCCGCGGUAAUACAGAGGGUGCAAGCGUUAAUCGGAUUUACUGGGCGUAAAGCGCGCGUAGAUGGCCAAUUAAGUCAAAUGUGAAAUCCCCGAGCUUAACUUGGGAAUUGCAUUCGAUACUGGUUGGCUAGAGUAUGGGAGAGGAUGGUAGAAUUCCAGGUGUAGCGGUGAAAUGCGUAGAGAUCUGGAGGAAUACCGAUGGCGAAGGCAGCCAUCUGGCCUAAUACUGACACUGAGGUGCGAAAGCAUGGGGAGCAAACAGGAUUAGAUACCCCAGUAGUCC